GCCACUUCUCAUAAGAGAGAGAAAGAACAGAGUGGAAACUCUGAGGUCUCUGAAGACCAGGAUAGAGAAAAACGAAGCAUCAGUGACAGUGAUGAAAAUACUCCACAGAUUUUUUUGCCCCCUUUUCAAAACCCAUUAGGCCCAUAUCCACUGAUCAUAAAUCAGGCAUAUCCAGGGUAUAGGUUUUACUUAUUUCCUUUCCCAGUAUCUCAGCUGGCAACUGCGACUCCUCCACCUAAUGAAAAGUGAACAAGGGAGAAAAGUCACAGUGUGAUUUAAGAAGAAAUUAAGUGAUUGCUGUAAAAUUGAAUGUCAGCUACUUCCUUGAAGAAUCAAUAAUCCUGUUAUAAAAGAAAAAAAUAAACUUAAUUGAAGCAUCA
ensembl:lncRNA